UACCGGAGUUCGGGGUUGUGAUACAGC
rnacentral:sRNA from 1 species